GAUGAACGCUGGCGGCGUGCCUAAUACAUGCAAGUCGAGCGAACAGACGAGGAGCUUGCUCCUCUGACGUUAGCGGCGGACGGGUGAGUAACACGUGGAUAACCUACCUAUAAGACUGGGAUAACUUCGGGAAACCGGAGCUAAUACCGGAUAAUAUAUUGAACCGCAUGGUUCAAUAGUGAAAGACGGUUUUGCUGUCACUUAUAGAUGGAUCCGCACCGCAUUAGCUAGUUGGUAAGGUAACGGCUUACCGAGGCAACGAUGCGUAGCCGACCUGAGAGGGUGAUCGGCCACACUGGAACUGAGACACGGUCCAGACUCCUACGGGAGGCAGCAGUAGGGAAUCUUCCGCAAUGGGCGAAAGCCUGACGGAGCAACGCCGCGUGAGUGAUGAAGGUCUUCGGAUCGUAAAACUCUGUUAUUAGGGAAGAACAAAUGUGUAAGUAACUAUGCACGUCUUGACGGUACCUAAUCAGAAAGCCACGGCUAACUACGUG
rnacentral:rRNA from 1 species